rnacentral:lncRNA from 12 species
CUCCAACAACAAUAAAGCCAGAAAUAACUCUGACAUACAUUAAAAAAUGUAAGCGUCAAAAAGCCUUUCUUUCAGCCCCUCUCCCAAAAUAUUAGCAUGUAAAUGAGUUAGCUAACAGUCACUAAUGACAUUUUUUUGCUGCAAAAUUAUUGGCUAAUUAUACCCAUUAUUGUAUUCUUAGCCUAUCAGACCAUGCUUUGAUCAUCCAGAAACAAAAAUGUUUCUUGGAACCAAUCCACGGGGCAACAAAUGGAGUCUGUUUUGACUGUUCUUUCUGAAAACCCUGUUGCCAGUAGCGCUCAUCAUCGUCAUUGACCACGAGGCUUGGCAUGGACCCAGGAAGAACUGUGAUGGCAGGUCAUCCGGGGUCCUUAGGAGAGGAGUUCCUGCUCGGCUACUGUCCCUUCUAAAGCAUUCAUGAAAACAAAUAAUCACCACACAAAUGUGUACUCUCCUACCCGGAGUUAUCAUCCUAUCUUUCAGAAUACUGGACAUUCUCAUCAUACCAUUAUAGAAGCUCAGAAAACUGAGGACAAAAUCACAGAACACCAGGGAGCAGGGCAGGCCCUACUGUGCUUUG